GCCGUAAACAUUGAUAGAUUAAUACAACCCCUAUCCGCCCGGGAACUACGAGCACCAGCUUGAAACCCAAAGGACUUGGCGGUGCUUUAGAUCCUACUAGAGGAGCCUGUUCUAUAACCGAUAACCCCCGUUCAACCUCACCUUUCCUUGUUCCCCCCGCCUAUAUACCGCCGUCGUCAGCCCACCCUAUGAAGGUCUAAAAGUAGGCUAAAUUGGCACAGCCCAAAACGUCAGGCCGAGGUGUAGCGUAUGGAAGGGGAAGAAAUGGGCUACAUUCCCUGUGUCAGGGCAUACGAAUGGUGUGUUGAAACACACAUCUUGAAGGAGGAUUUAGCAGUAAGCAGGGAGCAGAGCGUCCUGCUGAAAUUGGCUC
rnacentral:rRNA from 1 species